rnacentral:lncRNA from 1 species
UAUGGGGCAGCCGUGGGGCAGGCACUGACGCGGUUGUGGAUGAAGAGCCGCACUUUGUCCCCGGGCAGCUCCAGGCGCAGCAGCCGCUGCAGGAACAGCUCCAGGAACGGGGUCGGCUGCUCCACGAACACCGCCAGCAGCGCCCGCACCGCCUGCACGCACCGACAGGGGGCGCCACAAACACAACGUGUGGGGCGGGCAGACACGGGGGGCGCGCACACAGCGAUGGGGCACACACAGCUAUGGGGCACGCACUGCUAUGGGGCACGCACACACAGCUAUGGGGCACACACAGCUAUGGGGCACGCACACACAGCUAUGGGGCACACACAGCUAUGGGGCACACACAGCUAUGGGGCACGCACUGCUAUGGGGCGCACACACUGCUAUGGGGCACGCACACACAGCUAUGGGGCACAAACAGCUAUGGGGCACGCACAGCUAUGGGGCACACACAGCUAUGGGGCACGCACAGCUAUGGGGCACGCACAGCUAUGGGGCACACACACACAGCUAUGGGGCACACACAGCUAUGGGGCACACACAGCUAUGGGGCACACACAGCUAUGGGGCGCGCACACAGUUAUGGGGCACACACAGCUAUGGGGCGCGCACACAGUUAUGGGGCAUGCACUGCUACGGGGCACACACACACAGCUAUGGGGCACGCACACUGCUAUGGGGCGUGCACAGCUAUGGGGCACACACACACUGCUAUGGGACACGCACACACAGCUAUGGGGCACACACACAGCUAUGGGGCACGCACUGCUAUGGGGCACACACACACACACGGGGCCCAGCCCCACAGAUCUAUGGGGCACACACACACACAAUGGGGCCCAGCCCCACUGAUCUAUGGGGCGCACACACACACAUGGGGCCCAGCCCCGCAGAUCUAUGGGGCACACACACACACACACACACAAUGGGGCCCAGCCCCACAGAUCUAUGGGGCGCACACACACACACAUGGGGCCCAGCCCCACAGAUCUAUGGGGCACACACACACACACGGGGCCCAGCCCCACAGAUGUAUGGGGCACACACACACACGGGGCCCAGCCCCACAGAUCUAUGGGGCACACACACACACACGGGGCCCA